rnacentral:rRNA from 1 species
AGAACGAACGCUGGCGGCAGGCCUAACACAUGCAAGUCGAACGCGACCUUCGGGUCGAGUGGCGCACGGGUGAGUAACGCGUGGGAAUCUGCCCUGUGGUACGGAAUAACAUCGGGAAACUGGUGCUAAUACCGUAUAUCCCCUGAGGGGGAAAGAUUUAUCGCCAUGGGAGGAGCCCGCGUAGGAUUAGCUAGUUGGUGAGGUAACGGCUCACCAAGGCGACGAUCCUUAGCUGGUCUGAGAGGAUGAUCAGCCACACUGGGACUGAGACACGGCCCAGACUCCUACGGGAGGCAGCAGUGGGGAAUAUUGGACAAUGGGGGAAACCCUGAUCCAGCCAUGCCGCGUGUGUGAUGAAGGCCUUCGGGUUGUAAAGCACUUUCGCACGUGACGAUGAUGACGGUAACGUGAGAAGAAGCCCCGGCUAACUUCGUGCCAGCAGCCGC